rnacentral:rRNA from 1 species
GAUGAACGCUAGCGCUAGGCUUAACACAUGCAAGUCGAGGGGCAGCAUGGUCUUAGCUUGCUAAGACUGAUGGCGACCGGCGCACGGGUGCGUAACGCGUAUGCAACUUGCCUCACAGAGGGGGAUAACCCGUCGAAAGACGGACUAAUACCGCGUACACUUGGGAUAGGGCAUCCUGACCCAAGGAAAUGAAAUUCGCUGUGAGAUAGGCAUGCGUCCCAUUAGCUAGUUGGUGAGGUAACGGCUCACCAAGGCGACGAUGGGUAGGGGAACUGAGAGGUUGAACCCCCACACUGGUACUGAGACACGGACCAGACUCCUACGGGAGGCAGCAGUGAGGAAUAUUGGUCAAUGGGCGAGAGCCUGAACCAGCCAAGUCGCGUGAAGGAUGACUGUCUUAUGGAUUGUAAACUUCUUUUAUACGGGAAUAACAAGAGCCACGUGUGGCUCCCUGCAUGUACCGUAUGAAUAAGCAUCGGCUAACUCCGUG